AGGGGCCUGUGAAGAUUUUUCAAAUUUUGCCUACAUUGUCUGACUUAACAAUGAUAAGAUUUAUAUAUUGUGUCUGAGGCCUCU
rfam:Beta vulgaris subsp. vulgaris Bvchr2.sca013.con0142.1, whole genome shotgun sequence.